AGCGAACGCUGGCGGCAGGCUUAACACAUGCAAGUCGAGCGGGCACUUCGGUGUCAGCGGCAGACGGGUGAGUAACACGUGGGAACGUACCAUUCGGUUCGGAAUAACGCUGGGAAACUAGCGCUAAUACCGGAUACGCCCUUUUGGGGAAAGGUUUACUGCCGAAGGAUCGGCCCGCGUCUGAUUAGCUAGUUGGUGGGGUAAUGGCCUACCAAGGCGACGAUCAGUAGCUGGUCUGAGAGGAUGAUCAGCCACACUGGGACUGAGACACGGCCCAGACUCCUACGGGAGGCAGCAGUGGGGAAUAUUGGACAAUGGGCGCAAGCCUGAUCCAGCCAUGCCGCGUGAGUGAUGAAGGCCUUAGGGUUGUAAAGCUCUUUUGUCCGGGACGAUAAUGACGGUACCGGAAGAAUAAGCCCCGGCUAACUUCGUG
rnacentral:rRNA from 1 species